rnacentral:rRNA from 1 species
UCUCGGGGUUACAGCCUUGCUGAAUUAUUCACCCUUGUCUUUUGCGUACUUCUUGUUUCCUUGGUGGGUUCGCCCACCACUAGGACAAACAUAAACCUUUUGUAAUUGCAAUCAGCGUCAGUAACAAAUUAAUAAUUACAACUUUCAACAACGGAUCUCUUGGUUCUGGCAUCGAUGAAGAACGCAGCGAAAUGCGAUAAGUAGUGUGAAUUGCAGAAUUCAGUGAAUCAUCGAAUCUUUGAACGCACAUUGCGCCCUUUGGUAUUCCAAAGGGCAUGCCUGUUCGAGCGUCAUUUGUACCCUCAAGCUUUGCUUGGUGUUGGGCGUCUUGUCUCUAGCUUUGCUGGAGACUCGCCUUAAAGUAAUUGGCAGCCGGCCUACUGGUUUCGGAGCGCAGCACAAGUCGCACUCUCUAUCAGCAAAGGUCUAGCAUCCAUUAAGCCUUUUUUCAACUUUUGACCUCGGAUCAGGUAGGGAUACCCGCUGAACUUAAGCAUAUCAAUAAGUCGGGAGGAA